GUGAGGAUUAAGGUUAGGGUUGGGGAGGUGUGGGUAAAAUGGGGGUACUAGAAAGGCACGAAAGGUUGCAAGAUCGAGUCCCCCUGCAGACAAGGUAAAAAUCUGUCGCUCUGCCCCUGAAGAAGGCAGUUAACCCACUGUUCCGAGGCCGUCAUUGUAAAUAAGAAUUUGUUCUUAACUGACUUGCCUAGUUAAGUAAAGUUAAAAUAGAAAUUAGACCAGGUGAUGGAAUAGAGAGAGAUGGAGGGUAGGUGGGGGUAAAAGGGGGUACUAUAAACCCACAACACAGUGCUGUGUCAUUACUAGACCAGGUGAUGGAAUAGAGAGAGAUGGAGGGGAGGUGGGGGUAAAAGGGGGUACUAUAAACCCACAACACAGUGCUGUGUCAUUACUAGACCAGGUGAUGGAAUAGAGAGAGAUGGAGGGGAGGUGGGGGUAAAAUGGGGUACUAUAAACCCACAACACAGUGCUGUGUCAUUACUAGACCAGGUGAUGGAAUAGAGAGAGAUGGAGGGGACGUGGGGGUAAAAUGGGGUACUAUAAACCCACAACACAGUGCUGUGUCAUUACUAGACCAGGUGAUGGAAUAGAGAGAGAUGGAGGGGAGGUGGGGGUAAAAUGGGGUACUAUAAACCCACAACACAGUGCUGUGUCAUUACUAGACCAGGUGAUGGAAUAGAGAGAGAUGGAGGGGAGGUGGGGGUAAAAUGGGGUACUAUAAACCCACAACACAGUGCUGUGUCAUUACUAGACCAGGUGAUGGAAUAGAGAGAGAUGGAGGGGAGGUGGGGGUAAAAUGGGGUACUAUAAACCCACAACACAGUGCUGUGUCAUUACUAGACCAGGUGAUGGAAUAGAGAGAGAUGGAGGGGAGGUGGGGGUAAAAUGGGGUACUAUAAACCCACAACACAGUGCUGUGUCAUUACUAGACCAGGUGAUGGAAUAGAGAGAGAUGGAGGGGAGGUGGGGGUAAAAUGGGGUACUAUAUACCCACAACACAGUGCUGUGUCAUUACUAGACCAGGUGAUGGAAUAGAGAGAUGGAGGGGAGGUGGGGGUAAAAUGGGGUACUAUAAACCCACAACACAGUGCUGUGUCAUUACUAGACCAGGUGAUGGAAUAGAGAGAGAUGGAGGGGAGGUGGGGGUAAAAUGGGGUACUAUAAACCCACAACACAGUGCUGUGUCAUUACUAGACCAGGUGAUGGAAUAGAGAGAGAUGGAGGGGAGGUGGGGGUAAAAUGGGGUACUAUAAACCCACAACACAGUGCUGUGUCAUUACUAGACCAGGUGAUGGAAUAGAGAGAGAUGGAGGGGAGUAGUUGUGUGUGGAUGGUGCGUAGUCGGCAAUGUGCUAAACAGCGAGGACGUUGAUGUGUGGAUUAGAUCAUGAUGGUUGUGAUUGUCACCGUUUAUCACUCAAAGCCAAAGGUUCAGAUGCUCCCGGUGUUUUCCAUCUGUCUGUGCAGUCAGAUUUUUACAGAGAAUAACUUAUUAUGGUUAGAGGACAGAGAGUCUGCUUCCCAAACGGACCCCUAUUCCCUAUAUAGGGCCCUAUAUGCCUCUGGUCAAAGUAUUGCACUAUAUAGGAAUAGGGUGCCAUAGGUCCCUGUUAAAAGUAGUGCACUAUGUAGGGAAUAAGGUGCCAUAGGGCCUUGUUCAAAGUAGUGCACUAUGUAGGGAAUAAGGUGCCAUAGGGCCCUGUUCAAAGUAGUGCACUAUGUAGGGAAUAAGGUGCCAUUUGGGAGGCAUGCUGUCUUUUCUCCAUGGAGGGUUUACUGUUGAAACCAUCAUCUAGUCCCUUUAGUCAAAACCCUUUAGGUUAUCCCAUAGUAAUAAUAAUGAUACUGGUACAGAUGUUGUUUUUAUAGAAAUUACAGUAUAUCCAUUGAUAUAGUUGAUGACUUUUAUAUUAUGGGAGAGAAUUUAAAAAAUAUAAUAAAAAAUGUCUAUAUUUAGCUUCUCUAUUUUACCCUUUGGGUUUCGCUUUUUUGUCUGCAUAAAUUAUACGACUAUGAUUAUUUGUACCCGAUGAAAAACUGAACAAACAAAUAUAUAUAAUACACAACUGUCAUGUUUUAGUUGUAGGCUACAACACCAACGGUUUUGGGGUUAAAGCUUUUCUCGUUGUCUUUAUGGAGUCGUCAUAUGGAUCAUGACACACUACAAGUAAAUGCAAUCAUAAUGUACAUAUUAUCAUGGUAUUCUUUGGGGGUCAGCUGUACUAUUUUGCCGACAGACACACACAGCCUGUACACAGUCUUCACUACUACUAGACAGACACACACAGCCUGUACACAGUCUUCACUACUACUAGACAGACACACACAGCCUGUACACAGUCUUCACUACUACUAGACAGACACACACAGCCUGUACACAGUCUUCACUACUACUAGACAGACACACACAGCCUGUACACAUUAUUCACUACUACUAGACAGGCACACACAGCCUGUACACAGUCUUCACUACUACUAGACAGACACACACAGCCUGUACACAGUCUUCACUACUACUAGACAGACACACACAGCCUGUACACAGUCUUCACUACUACUAGACAGACACACACAGCCUGUACACAGUCUUCACUACUACUAGACAGACACACACAGCCUGUACACAGUCUUCACUACUACUAGACAGACACACACAGCCUGUACACAGUCUUCACUACUACUAGACAGACA